UUAUUAAGAAAUACUUAAGAGAACUUAAUAAAUAUUUAUAGAGCUCUGCAAAAAAAGAAAAAAAAAAGUUUUCUUGUUCCGGAUCUGAGUUCAAGUCCUUGAUAUCCUUAUUAAUUUUCUGUCUCGUUGAGUCUAAGUCUCUUUAUCUUGGAUUGUUCAAUUUCUAUUUUCACCUUUAGUUUUGGAAUUUCCCCGCUGAGAAAUAUGUACUGCUUCUACAAGCAGACAAUAAGCAAAUGAAUCUUCGUUUUAAAAUACAGAGAAGCAGGGAGUGGUAGCUCACGCCUGUAAUCUCAGCACUUUGGGAAACUGAGGCAGGAGGCUUGCUUGAGCCCAGGAAUUUGAGACCAAUGUGGGCAACAAAGCAAGACCCUCUCUCUAAAAAAAAACAAAACAAUGGUAGACACAACGGCGGCGGGAGGUUCUGUCUACAUGGAAAUGGAGAUUAAUUCACUCACUCAGACUGCAGCUGGAAACCUCAGAAGUUCUCCCUCCCUUGCCUCUCUGUAACUUCGCUUUAUUCGUUGGAGACAAGUGGGAGAAUGUUUAACCUGCUGUAUACCACUGAAUACUACUUAUCAGUAAAGGAAGGAAUUGUUGAUAGAUACUACUUCAGUGCGUCUCAAAGGUCUGUGGGUUCUGGCACCACCUAAGCCCCCCGGGCAUCUGGUCAUUGCUGACACCUCUCCUUUGAGCCACCUUGUCCCUGGCUAGACACAGUCGCACUUUCCAGUGCAGUUUUGGAAGGAUGCUGCCUUUGGAGAAGACGUUUGCUUCCCCUCGGAGCUCCCCAACCCCACCGGAUCUGCCGGCGCCGGGGUUAGCAGCUGGAGUCCAGCAGGAGGAACCUGAGACCAUCCAUGAGAGGACCCCUGCUGACCUGGAGUUCUCCCGCCUGCGCUUCCGGGAAUUUGUCUACCAGGAGGCUGCCGGGCCCCACCAGACCCUGGCCCGCCUGCAUGAGCUGUGCCGCCGGUGGCUGAUGCCUGAGGCACGCUCCAUGGAGCAGGUGCUGGAGCUGCUGGUGCUGGAGCAGUUCCUGGGCAUCCUGCCUGAUAGGGUCCGGCCCUGGGUGGUGGCACAGUACCCUGAGAGCUGCAAGAGGGCAGCCUCCUGGUAGAGGGCCUGGCUGAUGUUCUGCAUGAGCCAGUGAUGCUGCUGGGCUCCCCUGCGGGCUGAUCCUCGGUUUUUAGCGAUGGAGUGUAUAAGAGGCACAUGGACCCCUGCUGCUACCAGGCGAGCUCGCAAGCCCCAGCCAGGAACCUGGAGCUGGGGAGAUCCCACCACCUUCUGAGACACCCUGGCUUUCUCUGGACCCCCUGUUUCUGGAACAGAGGAGGGUUGGGUAAGCAAGGACCGAAGAGGCCAGCCCUGCCAACGCUGAGCGGAAGCUGAAGUCCUUUCCAGAGGAUCCUCAGAACCUGGGGGAGUGGGGCCGCCUGGACCCUGCUGAGGAGAACCUGAAGAGCUACCGGAAGCUUGUUGGGGGUAUCAGCCUUCCCAGCCUGACGCUGCCUCCAGGCUGGACACUGAGGAGCUCCGGUUGGUGGAAAGAGAUCCACAAGGCAGCAGCCUCCCAGAAGACGGGAGGCUUCAGGAGAGUGCUGGGUGCCCCCACGCAGGAGCUGCCUACGGAGGUGCCCCCAAGGGAUGCCCUUGCGGAGCCCCUGUCCAGCACCGCUGAGGAAGAGGAAGAGCAGCCUGGGAAGGCCCCAGACCCUCAGGACCCCCAGGACAGAGUCUGGCUCUGCCUCCGGAGCGCAUCCGGCAGCCAGCCCUGGACAGGGGUGCGGCGAGGCUGGGAACCAAGAGGCCACACCCCGAGGAUGGAGAUGGGCAGAGCCUUGAGGGUGUCUCCAGUGCCAGCCACAGCACGGGGCUCAUGGCAGGGCAGGGCCCAGGGGCUGAUGAGCCGGGCGUGUCCCGCGGGAAGCCCUUGGCCUGCGGCGAGUGUGGGGAGGCCUUUGCGUGGCCCUCGGAGCACCACAGCAGCCACAGCGGCCGGAAGCGCCAUGCCCAUCAGGGCUGCUGGAAGACCUGCCACUUCAGCCUGGCGUUGGCCGAGCACCAGAAGACCCACGAGAAGGAGAAAGGCUACGUGCUGGGUGGCACCCUGGGCCCCUACAGCCCACCCGUGAAGCCCAGAGAGCAGGGAGGGAGAGGCUCUCCCCGCACCCCCAGAGGCACAGAGGUGAGCCGCUGUGCUGUCCCCGAGGGACCACCCUGCCAGCCGAGAAUCCCAAAGAGUCAUCAGGCCCUUCCACGCCCCUGGGUGGCGGCUCCCUGUGGUGUCUGUGGAUGUCAUCUGCCUGUGCCCUGAAUCAGCUCCUGAGGCUAAGCGCUCCCAACCAGAAGGAUCCAUGGGAAGCCCUCACCUCUCUGUAAACACACCCUGGGCCAGCGCUCACACCCGAGGGGAGCCGCCGGAUGUGGAAGAAGACUCCGCUUUCCUGCAGCCAUUUAGUGCCGCCCCGUGCUAGGUUAUUUGACACUGUGCAGUGUAGAGUUGCCUUAAAGUGCGUGAUCUGCCAGUGCUUUCUUGAAGUCACCCUUGCCCUCAUUCCUCCUGUUUGCGCUCCCCAGGGUUGCUCAAGUGGAAAUUUUGUCAUGUUUAGCCUUUUCCCUGCGUGAUGUCAAAGUUCACUUCUAAUCUGCAAAAGCAGAAGCUGUUUCCUAGUUUACCUCACGUGUCUUUACCUGUGUGGAGUAGCUCUCAGAGAUCAUAGAAACGCUCGCAGCCUAAGGCAGGGUUUUCAGACCGUGGGUCCCAGCCCAUUAAUAAAUUGCGAAAUCAAUUAUCAGGUGGCCACCAGCAUUACGCAGCAAUGAGGCAGAAUAAAAUAGGCUAGAAUGCAUCGUGUAGUAAAGGCAAGUACAGUUUUGUGAAACUUUUCAGCCAUGCAUCUAAAUAAGAGAACUGCUUGCAAUGUAAGACGCACUUCUUGCUGGAAGUUGUAAUCAAAAUGGUUGAAAACACCAAUAAAGAUCGUCUGUCUGAGCAAA